UUAUCAAAAUUGGACCUAAAAGUAGACCCGAAGGCCUGCAAGGACGGACGCAAGUACGGAAGCUGCAAGGAGAGGAUCCUCACUCCGAGGCCUACUCCAAUUGCAGUAUCUCCAGAAAAAGAAGUCGAAGAGUUUUUUUUAUAUUGAUACUCAAAAAGAAAAUAAAAUAGCUAAAGAAGGUGAAUAGUAUUUCCCAAUUGAAAUUAACAAAGUCUUUAUGAUAAGUGAUAUCAUACUAUAAAACAAAAGUGAGCAUAGCUAGAUUUUAGUCCAUUUUAUUAAUGUAUUUGAAAGAAAAGAAUAUUAUGGUUAGAAACUAGAAGCCACUCAUCAAAACAAAGAGCAAUAUAAGGGCACAUUUCUAAUACUUUACUCUUAUUACUUUACUCAUCAAAACAAAGAAUAUUUUUAAUACUUUACUUAUUACUUUAAGUGCACAUUUCUUUCUCAUCCUCAUUCUUGUGAAUUUUUUUGCUUUUAUGUUUUUAAUAUUUUCAAAAAUAGACUCAUUCUUUGUUUGUAAUUUGCAUAUAUCUACAACGAAGGAAUUGAAGGUCCUGGUUCUAUAAAUCUAUAGGCCUUGAUAGUACAUCAAAACCCUUGGUAUGUCUUCUUUGUGUGGUGUCAUUGGUGCUGCUAAAUUUUUUUACAUUUUUCUUUUUCAUUUACUUUUGCCUUUCUUUUUCCUUGGUUGCUUUAAAUUCAGAACCUCACAUUAGCUCAAAAAGCGAAAUUGUAUGUGAGGCUUACUCGUUGUUUAACUUUUUUGGGAGUCUAUUUUAUGUUCCGACGUAGCUGCCCAUAGAAAGGCAAAGCAAGGUACAUCAUGUUUUUGUUUUUUAGUUUUUUGAACGCAAGGUAUAUCAUGUUUGUUAUGCUUAUUUUAGGUUUUUCAAUUUGCUUUUAUGAGAGGAAAGAGGAAAUAUCAAUGUAAAGGAUUGAUUCCAAAUCAUUGUAAAAGACCAAAUGUUUGUUCUUCUGAUAUACAAUGACACCUUUUAUUUAGUGAUAAUAAUGAUGGCUAUGAAUAUCGAUGACACCUUCUAUUGAGUAAUAAUAAUAAUGGGCAAUGCAUUUUGUUGAUUCAAUUGGUUAACCAAUUGAAUAUUGACCUCAACUUUGCAUUCACAACUGUCAUGGGCGAUGCAUUUUGUUGAUUCAUGGGCAUGUGUUAUCGUGCGAAGCACGAUUCUUUGUCACUAGUUUAUACAUACAUGUGAUGCUUUUGCUUCUUUCAAGCUUUUGUAAUACGUUGUUUUGUCUUGAUAUAUAGCUAGCUUUUAGAUAGAAGGAUAUUUCACAAAGUUUUAAAAACAUUAAUUAAAACUCACUUAAAACUGGUAGGAGCCAAGCAAAGGUGCAAGGGGCAAGAAGCAUUCUCAUGGAGAAAUCCAGUUUGGUUGCUCUAAGAAACGAAGUUUUUGAAGACGAAAUCCAAGUUGCUAGGAAUUUUCUAACACAAAGAUAUGGAGGGCACAAGUCGAGUGUUGAUGCAAUUAAAUCAGCCCAUGAUGGUACACUCACAAGAAGAUAAUUCGGAUAAAUUUUGUAUGGUUUAGAACUUAUGGAUAGUUUUUUUUUUUGGAUGAUUUAGAACGUUUUGGACGGUUUUGAACUUGAAUAUAGUUUUUGAUGUCUAGAAACAUAGUGUUAGGAUGGUUUGGAAUGUAUAGUUAGUUUUUGAAUAUUCAGAACUUAUAGACAAUUUAUUUUUUA